UACGUAGGGUGCGAGCGUUGUCCGGAAUUAUUGGGCGUAAAGGGCUCGUAGGCGGUCUGUUGCGUCAGGAGUGAAAACUCGGGGCUUAACCCCGAGCCUGCUUCUGAUACGGGCAGACUAGAGGUAUGCAGGGGAGAACGGAAUUCCUGGUGUAGCGGUGAAAUGCGCAGAUAUCAGGAGGAACACCGGUGGCGAAGGCGGUUCUCUGGGCAUCACCUGACGCUGAGGAGCGAAAGCGUGGGGAGCGAACAGG
rnacentral:rRNA from 1 species